rnacentral:rRNA from 1 species
AGGAGGGGGAUAACGUUGGGAAACUGACGCUAAUACCCCAUAUGUGCUAAGUUGAAAUACUUAUCAUGAAAGUUCCGGCGCCUUGAGAUGAGCCUGCGGCUGAUUAGCUUGUUGGUGGGGUAAAGGCCUACCAAGGCUACGAUCAGUAGCUGGUCUGAGAGGAUGAUCAGCCACAAUGGGACUGAGACACGGCCCAUACUCCUACGGGAGGCAGCAGUAGGGAAUUUCGCGCAAUGGGCGAAAGCCUGACGCAGCAACACCGCGUGAGGGAUGAAGCUUUUUGGAGUGUAAACCUCUGUCAGUGGGGAAGAAACCUGACUGUACCCACAGAGGAAGCAUCGGCUAACUACGUGCCAGCAGCCGCGGUAAGACGUAGGAUGCAAGCGUUGUCCGGAUUUAUUGGGCGUAAAGAGUUCGUAGGUGGUCUAUCAAGUCUGGUGUUAAAGCCCGGAGCUCAACUCCGGAUCGGCCCUGGAUACUGGUAGGCUAGAGUGCAGAAGAGGCAAGGGGAAUUCCCAGUGUAGCGGUGAAAUGCGUAGAUAUUGGGAGGAACACCGGUGGCGAAAGCGCCUUGCUGGGCUGUUACUGACGCUGAGGAACGAAAGCCAGGGGAGCGAAUGGGAUUAGAUACCCCAGUAGUCCUGGCCGUAAACGAUGGAUACUAGGUGUCAUGGGUAUCGACCCCCGUGGUGCCGUAGCUAA